CAGUUUCCUCUCACCCCUCCCUAUGAAAGCAGAAGUUCUGUUAGGGCAUAGAGAAAACUCCACCUUCGAGCUAGUUCACUCGUUCUCUUCUGCUCACCAUCCUAGUCUGUGGAGCUGUUGUGCCUAACUUGUGCUCUUUAAGUUGUUGUUCCUUUUCUUGCAUCUAAAAGAUGGAAAUACUUCUGGAGGUAGGCCUGAUGGCGGUAGCGGUGCAGCUUAGUGGGCUCGUUGGGGUGGCCCUCGAAAGAUGAUUCUAUGGUCCUAGUGCCUUUGUAACUCCUGGCUCUAGGAGCUUUUCUUUUGCAUAACUGUGAACCUUGUUGUUUCUGUUUUGGCUAUGGCAUGGUUGUAUGCCUAGAAUCCCUUUUAAGUACUCUUA